AAAACAUCGCCUCCUGCACAACAAUAUAUAGGAGGUCCUACCUGCCCGGUGACUAAGUUAAACGGCCGCGGUAUUUUGACCGUGCAAAGGUAGCGCAAUCACUUGUUUUUUAAAUGAAGACCUGUAUGAAUGGUGAAACGAGGACUUAACUGUCUCCCCCCUCUAAUCAGUGAAAUUGAUUUACCCGUGCAGAAGCGGGUAUGAAAAUACAAGACGAGAAGACCCUAUGGAGCUUAAGAUAUAUGUCACCUGUGUAAAACCCCCUAAUAAAAAGAACAAAACAAAACAACAACUGACUAGUAUCUUCGGUUGGGGCGACCACGGGAGAAAAAAAAUCCCCCGCGUGGAAUGAGACAUCCCUUAAAGCCACGAGGUACACCUCUAAGUCACAGAACUUCUGACCAAAAGAUCCGGCAUUCAGCCGAUCAACGGACCAAGUUACCCUAGGGAUAACAGCGCAAUCCUCUUCAAGAGUUCCUAUCGACAAGGGGGUUUACGACCUCGAUGUUGGACCAGGACAUCCUAAUGGUGCAGCCGCUAUUAAGGGUUCGUUUGUUCUACGAUUAAAGUCCUACGUGAUCUG
rnacentral:rRNA from 1 species